rnacentral:SRP_RNA from 1 species
GGCGGGCCCCUGCGCAUUGUGGCAUGGUCAACCUGGUCAGGUCGGGAACGAAGCAGCCACAGCCAUUCCCCGCAAGUGCCGUAGACAAGGCUCGCCCCUU